UAAUACGGGGGGUGCGAGCGUUGUCCGGAAUCACUGGGCGUAAAGGGCGCGUAGGUGGUUUGAUAAGGGUGUGGUGAAAGUCCGGGGCUCAACCCCGGAUCUGCCGUGCCGACUGUCAAACUCGAGGACUGUAGAGGCAGACGGAAUUCCGGGUGUAGCGGUGGAAUGCGUAGAGAUCCGGAGGAAGACCGGUGGCGAAGGCGGUCUGCUGGGCAGUUUCUGACACUGAGGCGCGACAGCGUGGGGAGCAAACAGGAUUAGAUACCCUGGUAGUCCACGCCAUAAACGAUGAGGACUAGACGUUGGAGGGGUAAGCCUUUCAGUGUCGUAGCUAACGCGCUAAGUCCUCCGCCUGGGGAGUACGGCCGCAAGGUUG
rnacentral:rRNA from 1 species